CGUAGGUGGCAAGCGUUGUCCGGAAUUAUUGGGCGUAAAGCGCGCGUAGGUGGGACCAUAAGUCUUAUGUAAAAGUGCGGGGCUCAACCCCGUAAAGCGUGAGAAACUGUGGUUCUUGAGUGCAGGAGAGGAAAGCGGAAUUCCCAGUGUAGCGAUGAAAUGCGUAGAUAUCUGGAGGAACACCGGUGGCGAAGGCGGCGUUCUGGACUGCAACUGACACUGAAAAACGAAAGCCAGGGGAGCAAACAGGAUUAGAUACCCCGGUAGUCCUGGCCCUAAACGAUGAAUGCUUGGUGUGGCGGGUAUCGAUCCCUGCCGUGCCGAAGUUAACGCGUUAAGCAUUCCGCCUGGGGAGUACGGUCGCAAGGCUG
rnacentral:rRNA from 1 species